AUAAUUGUAAUAAAAUAAAAUAUAAAUAUAAAUAAAUACAAUAAUAAAUAAUAAAAUAAAUAUAAAUGAUUUGUUAUUGAGAAGCUGAAAGCCGGGAAAGUGAAAAACUUAAAUUGCUAACAGCUGAUCUAAAGCUGAUUCCGUAAGAUCAAUGUGUUUGAGUUGAGAUUUAUUUAAUUUAUUGAUUCUUAAUUUUUAAUAAUAAUUCAGUUUUUCGAUUAUAAGUAUAUUUAUGAAUUUAAGUGUAAAUUUAUAAAAGCUGCUAUUUUACGAUUUAUUAAUAUUUUGACUGUUAAAUUUCCAUUCAAUCAAAACAGUUAUUCAGUUGUUUCGAUGGAUUUGUAUUGUUUUUCCCGCGAUCACCAACAUGUUUGACCUUCCAUUUUGAUAUGUUCAUAAGUUAACUGAAAAUGUUUAAUAAGUGAAGAUUUGAAACCUUGAAUCUCUCUAUUAAUUGAAUCAAAUUCAAUCUGACAAUUGUAAGUUAUUAUUCAACUAUUCCAUUACAAAAGGUCAAGCCUUUUCAAAUAUGAAAGUAAACAUGAAACUACAAGCAUCAUUAACAUGUAUCUACAGCCACCAUCAUAAUCAUCAUCAACUGAUUUAUCAUCACAAUCAAGCUGGAUAAUCUGCAAAACUAUGCACCUUUUGAUGUCUUUUUUAAUUGUUCAUUGUGAAUUCAUUGUCUUUUCAACCAUUUCAACUGAUAUAUUCAAUGUUCAAUCUUACCUGCCAUGGACUAGUCUGUAAGUAAUUUUAUCUCAAUUCAAAAUAGUGAUCAACAGGCCUUCAAUUGAACAAGGUUGGUCAAAGCUUUACAAUUUACAGCAAAUGUGUUGGCUGAUCAAAAUCUGACCAAAUUUUGGCCAUAAAAGCUUCACCAAACUUAAACCUUGUCACAAGUAAAUUGUUAAUUUUGGACUAUUUGGGUUUCUGCUAGGACAGUUGAUUGAUUAAAUUGUGAUUCCAAGGUAAUUGUUUGGUAAACAAUGAAUUACAGUCUCAUCAAUUGUCAAGUACAGAGAGACUUUCAAUAGAUUUACACAUGAAUGGCGACCAAUCCAUUGAGCUAUAAACUGAUUAAUUGCUUAUUUAUGUUUAUUAUU